UGGGGUAUAGCUUAGUGAUAGAGCACUUGCUUGGCAUACAAGAGGCCCUGAGUUCCACCCCAGCACAGCAA
rnacentral:tRNA from 1 species